UACGGGGGGAGCAAGCGUUGUUCGGAUUUACUGGGCGUAAAGGGCGCGUAGGCGGCGUAACAAGUCACUUGUGAAAUCUCCGGGCUUAACCCGGAGCGGCCAAGUGAUACUGUUGUGCUAGAGUGCGGAAGGGGCUACUGGAAUUCUCGGUGUAGCGGUGAAAUGCGUAGAUAUCGAGAGGAACACCUGCGGCGAAGGCGGGUAGCUGGGCCGACACUGACGCUGAGGGACGAAAGCUAGGGGAGCGAAUGGG
rnacentral:rRNA from 1 species